rnacentral:rRNA from 1 species
GACGAACGCUGGCGGCGCGCCUAACACAUGCAAGUCGAACGGAGCUGAGAGAAGCUUGCUCUUCUUAGCUUAGUGGCGAACGGGUGAGUAACGUGUGAGUAACCUGCCCUGGAGUGGGGGACAACAGUUGGAAACGACUGCUAAUACCGCAUAAGCCCACGAUCCGGCAUCGGAUUGAGGGAAAAGGAUUUAUUCGCUUCAGGAUGGACUCGCGUCCAAUUAGCUAGUUGGUGAGGUAACGGCCCACCAAGGCGACGAUUGGUAGCCGGACUGAGAGGUUGAACGGCCACAUUGGGACUGAGACACGGCCCAGACUCCUACGGGAGGCAGCAGUGGGGGAUAUUGCACAAUGGGGGAAACCCUGAUGCAGCGACGCCGCGUGGAGGAAGAAGGUUUUCGGAUUGUAAACUCCUGUCGUUAGGGACGAUAAUGACGGUACCUAACAAGAAAGCACCGGCUAACUACGUG